AGUGAACGCUGGCGGUAGGCCUAACACAUGCAAGUCGAACGGCAGCACAGUAAGAUCUUGCUCUUACGGGUGGCGAGUGGCGGACGGGUGAGGAAUACAUCGGAAUCUACUUUUUCGUGGGGGAUAACGUAGGGAAACUUACGCUAAUACCGCAUACGACCUACGGGUGAAAGCAGGGGAUCUUCGGACCUUGCGCGAUUGAAUGAGCCGAUGUCGGAUUAGCUAGUUGGCGGGGUAAAGGCCCACCAAGGCGACGAUCCGUAGCUGGUCUGAGAGGAUGAUCAGCAACACUGGAACUGAGACACGGUCCAGACUACUACGGGAGGCAGCAGUGGGGAAUAUUGGACAAUGGGCGCAAGCCUGAUCCAGCCAUACCGCGUGGGUGAAGAAGGCCUUCGGGUUGUAAAGCCCUUUUGUUGGGAAAGAAAAGCAGCAGGUUAAUACCCCGCUGUUCUGACGGUACCCAAAGAAUAAGCACCGGCUAACUUCGUG
rnacentral:rRNA from 1 species